rnacentral:rRNA from 1 species
AUACGGAGGCUGCGAGCGUUAAUCGGAAUUACUGGGCGUAAAGCGCGCGUAGGCGGUUUGUUAAGUCGGAUGUGAAAUCCCCGGGCUCAACCUGGGACCUGCAUCCGAUACUGGCAGGCUAGAGUCUGGUAGAGGGGGGUAGAAUUCCUGGUGUAGCGGUGAAAUGCGUAGAUAUCAGGAGGAAUACCAGUGGCGAAGGCGGCCCCCUGGACUGAGACUGACGCUGAGGUGCGAAAGCGUGGGGAGCAAACAGGAUUAGAAACCCUAGUAGUCC